UGUGGCCAAGCUACUAAGGGCGCACGGGGGAUGUCUUGGCGUCAGGAGGCGAUGAAGGGCGUGGAAAUCUGCGAAAAGCCCGGGGAAGUUGAUAAACGAGCGUUGAUCCCGGGAUUCCCGAAUUGGCGUACGCUGAAUCCAUAGGCGUACGUCGCGAACCCGGUGAACUGAAACAUCUCAGUAACCGGUGGAAAAGAAAGAAACCUCGAUUUCCUCAGUAGCGGCGAGCGAACGGGAAACAGCCUAAACCGCGGAGGUUUCCUCUGCGGGGUUGUAGGGCCUUUCACAUGGGAGUUACAAAGUGAUCUGGUAGCGGAACCGAACUGGAACGGCGGACCAUAGCGGGUGACAGUCCCGUACGCGACACUAGUAUCACCUCCCGAAGGGUACCUGAGUAGGUCGGGUCACGUGAAACCCCGACUGAAUCGACGGGGACCAUCCCGUAAGGCUAAAUACUCCCUGACGACCGAUAGUUGACCAGUAGGGCGACUGAAAGAUGAAAAGAACCCCUGCUAGGGGAGUGAAAUAGAAUCUGAAACCGUGUGCCU
rnacentral:rRNA from 1 species